UACGGAGGGUGCAAGCGUUGUUCGGAAUUAUUGGGCGUAAAGGGUGCGUAGGUGGCAUGGUAAGUCGGAUGUGAAAUCCCGGGGCUCAACCCCGGGCCUGCAUUCGAUACGGGCAGACUAGAGUUCGGUAGGGGAGUCUGGAAUUCCUGGUGUAGCGGUGAAAUGCGCAGAUAUCAGGAGGAACACCGGUGGCGAAGGCGGGACUCUGGGCCGAUACUGACGCUGAGGAGCGAAAGCGUGGGGAGCAAACAGG
rnacentral:rRNA from 1 species